AUGAAGAACGUAGUGAAAUGCGAUAAGUAAUGUGAAUUGCAGAAUUCAGUGAAUCAUCGAAUCUUUGAACGCACAUUGCGCCCGCCAGUAUUCUGGCGGGCAUGCCUGUCCGAGCGUCAUUUCAACCAUCAAGCCCCGGGCUUGUGUUGGGGACCUGCGUCCGACGCAGGCCCUGAAAACCAGUGGCGGGCUCGCUGUCCACACCGAGCGUAGUAACUAACCUCGCUAUGGAGUGGCGCGGGCGCCUGCCGUAAAACCCCCAAUUUCACAAGGUUGACCUCGGAUCAGGUAGGAAUACCCGCUGAACUUAAGCAUAUCAAUAAGCGGAGGA
rnacentral:misc_RNA from 1 species